GCCUAUGGCCAUAUGACCCUGACUGCAUGCACCUGAUCUUGGAAGCUAAGCAGGUUCUAGCUGGUUAGUACUCAGAUGGACAGGAGAGAUGAGAAUCAGAUCUGAGUAAGAACGAAAGCAAAUAAAGAUG
rnacentral:rRNA from 1 species